rnacentral:tRNA from 1 species
GCGGGUGUGGCGGAACUGGCAGACGCACUAGACUUAGGAUCUAGCGCUCCGGCGUGGGGGUUCGAAUCCCUUCACCCGCACCA